UCCCUGGUGGCUUAGGCAGUAAAGCGUCUGCCUGCAAUUCAGAAGACCUGGGUUCAAUCCCUGGGUUGGGAA
rnacentral:tRNA from 1 species